GGGGUUGUGGCUCAGCGGUAGAGCACUCGCCUUGCACGUGUGAGGUGCUAGGUUCAAUCCUUAGCACCACA
rnacentral:tRNA from 1 species